AUGUCGAGCUCCGCUUCAGCCUCCCGCCGCUCAUGGCCGCGCUAUGGCGCAGUGCCCAUGACAAGGUGCCCUGCAUGCCCAUGUAUCGCACCCCUGAAGCGGCUAGUCACAACGACCGACAAGAAUGGCAACCUUGGGCAGGAAUUCGUGAAAUGCGAGAGCAAACCAGAGCAGGGAAAGAAAUUGAAGCAAUGCACCCAUUUUGAGUGGCUAGAUGAGUACAUAGAGCGGAUUCAACUGGAGGGUGCAUCAGGGGAGCUCGAUUUACCGUUGGAGGCGGAGAAGUUGGGCAAGUUUGGAUCGGGCGCGUCUGGAUCUGGGGCCCUUGGAUCUGGCAAUUCCAUUGGGGGCGCCCAUUCCAUUGGUGCUGUGUGGGGGAUGCAGGAGUGA
rnacentral:rRNA from 1 species